rnacentral:rRNA from 1 species
GACGAACGCUGGCGGCGUGCUUAACACAUGCAAGUCGAACGGAAAGGCCUGCUUUCCCUUGUGGUUUGCGGGUACUCGAGUGGCGAACGGGUGAGUAACACGUGAGUGAUCUGCCCCCAACUUGGGUAUAAGCCUGGGAAACUGGGUCUAAUUCCCGAUAGGACUGCAGGGUGGUGCCUGUGGUGGAAAACGAUUUUCUAGUGGUUGGGGGUGAGCUCGCGGCCUAUCAGCUUGUUGGUGGGGUAAUGGCCUACCAAGGCGGCGACGGGUAGCCGGGCUGAGAGGGGGGACGGCGAAAUUGGGACUGAGAUACGGCCCAGACUCCUACGGGAGGCAGCAGUGGGGAAUAUUGCACAAUGGGCGGAAGCCUGAUGCAGCGACGCCGCGUGGGGGAUGACGGCAUUCGGGUUGUAAACUCCUUUCGACCGCGAGGAAGCCACCUGGUUGGAAGGGUGGUGACGGUAGUGGUAGAAGAAGCACCGGCUAACUACGUG